CCCGAGAUGAGUUCUCCCUGACUCCUUGAGAGUCCUGAAGGAACGUUGAAGACGACGACGUUGAUAGGCCGGGUGUGUAAGCGCAGCGAUGCGUUGAGUUAACCGGUACUAAUGAACCGUGAGGCUUAACCUU
rnacentral:rRNA from 1 species